AAUUUUGGACAAUGGGGGAAACCCUGAUCCAGCCAUCCCGCGUGUAUGAUGAAGGCCUUCGGGUUGUAAAGUACUUUUGGCAGAGAAGAAAAGGUAUCUCCUAAUACGAGAUACUGCUGACGGUAUCUGCAGAAUAAGCACCGGCUAACUACGUGCCAGCAGCCGCGGUAAUACGUAGGGUGCAAGCGUUAAUCGGAAUUACUGGGCGUAAAGCGGUGGAAGGCGGUUCGAAAGGAAGGAUGGGAAACCCAGGGGCUCAACCUGGAAAUGGAAUUUUAAACGGCCGGGUAGAGGAAGUCAGAAGGGGGGAAGAAUUCACGGUGAAGAGGUAAAAGGCGAGGUAAUGGGGAGGAAUACCGUUGGCGAAGGCAGCCCCCGGGAAUAAUCCGGACGCCAAACAAGGAAACGUUGGGAGCAAACA
rnacentral:rRNA from 1 species